rnacentral:sRNA from 1 species
GGGGCUCCCUUGCUGCCCGCCUUGGGGGCCAUGUCCGGGGCUCCUUGCGGAUGAGAGCCGGGCUGGGAGCCGGGGGGCCGUCCCGGUGCCCGCCCUGCGCACGGCAGGAUCUUCCUGUUAGUGCGAGAAGAACAGGAUCGACCUGUGUGAGCAAACAGCAAGCCAGUGUCCAGCCUUGCCGAGUCCUCCCCGGGGGCCGACCCGGAAGGCGCCCCGCUCCUGCCCACCCCACCUUCAGCUUGCCACAGUAGUCCUUCCGAUGGUGUCUCAGAGGAGAAUCCCAAGCUUUCCUCAUGUCCCUAAGGAUUUGAGCUCUGUCCCUGGGAUGCCCCUUGGUGUGGCCACUGCAAGGCUCUGGCCCCUGAGUAUGCCAAAGCCGCUGGGAAACUGAAGGCAGAAGGUUCCGAGAUCAGGUUGGCCAAGGUGGACGCCACGGAGGAGUCUGACCUGGCCCAGCAGUACGGCGUGCGCGGCUAUCCCACCAUCAAGUUCUUCAGGAAUGGAGACACGGCUUCCCCCAAGGAAUAUACAGCUGGCAGAGAGGCCGAUGACAUCGUGAACUGGCUGAAGAAGCGCA